AGCCAGCAGUCAAUUGACCUUUGUAAGUUACUUGAUUGGCUAUGUCCAUGAUUCUCUGAUUCAUUCUAUACUGUGACGAGAGAGUAAUUGUGUUAUUCUCAUUAUCCAACUGUUCGAAGAGAGAUUUAUCCAUUCCACGCUUCCUGGAAGUUACAGUUUCCAAUUUAUUAUUUGACGCAACUGUCAGUUUAAAGCAGUUUAUGCAAAAUUUUCACUGAAGUAAAUUUCACCAGUCAAUAUAUUCUCAGAUUUGUAAUUAUGAAAUAAUUCAGACCUACCUGGCAGUACUGGUUUUGACCAGAGGAGGUAGUUGAUUAGGAUCUCCGACAAGAACGAAUUUUUCCGCACUGUAGAGAGGUCGGAGAAUCGUUGAUUGCAAUACCUGUGUGCUUUCAUCCACCAGGCAUACGUCAAACAUUCGCUUUCCCAACAGCGGAUGAUUCGCUCCAAGGCAUGUGACACACACUACACUCUGGGAUAUAAAAGUGAAUUACAGUUCUGUGUUAGUGAGGAUUCACUUUUGGACAGCAAUAAAGGAUGAAUUUUGUUAGAUGAUCCUAGUCGCACAAAGUCAACACCUGUCUCAAGUAAUUUCAGUAAAACGUUAUCGACAGCAGAGUGAGUAUGAGCCUCACCGAAUUGUCAUCUAACAAAUAUCCAAUGUUUGAAAUAUUUGUCAUCAACAUAGUCUGCGAUGGAUAGGCAUCGAUGUGAAAUACGUUGUCCAUUUUUUUUCCACAAUAAAGUUAUCGAAUCUUUGGAUAAUUGUAUUAUGGGACCAGCACUGACAUUGAUUCUUGUAUUAGUGCUCACAAUUAUAUAAUCGCCUGCACUGAACCCAGAUUUCGAGAAAUCAUCCAAAACUUUGCCAUCAAUGGGAUUCUUUCGAACAAAUGUAUGAUGAAAGCGAUUACCCUCUGCAAUUACUUUACCAACUACCUCCAGUACUGUUGUGACGUAUGAUAUUUCUUUCACAGUAUCUACCAUAAUACUGAUGAAACAACAUACCUUUUCUUUGGUGGAAUGGUCCAUAAACUUCUCAAUGGUGGGAUGUGGACUUGAUCACCCUCAUCGAUUUGAAGUAUAUUCACCCAUUUCUUAACGUAUUCUAUAUGAACAGGCUUCAAAUAAAUAUCUAACUUCUGUAUCAUUGGGGCUGUGAUCCUAGUUCAGAAUCCACUUGUUGAUCUGUUAUUUUUGGAGAGCGUGUGAGAUAAUAUGCGAAAUUGUUACGCAACAGAAUAAGGUCUCUUUGUUCACGAUGACCCACCUUUAUCUCACGCAUAAUAUUUUCUCUGUUUUUAUUAAAAUCAAACAUAGAAAAAAAUUACUUCAGAAUCCUAACUAAUUUAUAACUCUGCAUUUUAUUUAUCGUUGUGAUUCA